AUGGCAAAGUUUUGGCGGAGUGGUUCCCUUGAUCGCAGCUCGUUGCAUUGGGUGGCAUGGGACAAACUUGCAUCUCCGAAAGCCCGAGGUGGCAUGGGUUUUCGUGAUCUCGAGUUGUUCAACUUGGCGCUAUUAGGCAAACAUGGCUGGAGAUUUAUUACAAAUCCCAAUUCGCUUUGUGCACGGGUCAUGAAGGGGCGCUACUUCCCUGAUUGUGAGUUUAUGGAUGCUUCUGUUACACAUUCAUCUUCGGCGAUUUGGCGAGCCAUUGUGGCAGGUAAGGAAGUGCUCACAACAGGUUUAAUCAAAAGAGUUGGUGAUGGAACUACCAUCUCCAUUUGGGAGGAUCGUUGGAUCCCG
rnacentral:rRNA from 1 species